AACGAGGCCGACCUGCGGCUGAGUUACCUGCGGAGGGAUCAUUACCGAGUUUGCUUUUCUAGCUCGAAACCCACUGUGAACAUACCUCUCCAUAACGUUGCUUCGGCGGCCUGGGGUUCCCCCUUCUGCUCUCUUUUCCGAGAAACGAAGGCUCUCCCAGUCGUCGGAGGGACGCAAACCAAAACUCUUUAAAAUUACCUUACGAGUAUCUAUCUGAGUCGAUAUUUUAAUUAUCAAAAC
rnacentral:misc_RNA from 1 species